GUUGCUAACAAGUGGGGGCAGGCGCGUUCAAUGACGUCAGGCGCGCACGGUCUUCUGCGCACGCGCCCUGCCAGAAAGCACGGACGAGCUCUGCGCUUUGGUCAGAAGUAGGAAGUAAGAAAGUAAGCAAAAGAAGGUUGUGUAAAGUAAGAGCAACUAUGCUUAGGGAACCAUGAGAGAUUGGAAGCUCAUAAUUGAGUUCCUUGGUGCAAAACUGCAGAAACACAGCUAAUCAUUGGUCAAGACGGGCUUGACUUUCCCUCAGCUCAGGACCUGGGAAUCACGCGUUUGAAAUGUAAUCAUUAAAGAAGAUAGCACUCCUAUAUCCCAGUUUCUGUGGACAGGUAGGAGGAGCCCAAACUUAGCCAACUUGCAAAACUAUCUCUGGUCAUAAAGACUCAUGCAAGGUCCAGUGCGGCCGGGAAGCUACUGAACAAUUCUGCAUCAAGAUCAUCUUCCAGUAUUUCAGGUUCUCACAUUAAAGAUCCAGACAUCUUUCUGGUAUUCUAUAUCUUCCUCUAUUGAUAUGUGGAAAGAGAAGACUGAAAUGUGUGGAUCUGAGCAUGGUUGAAGAAUGUGAUUCAAGGGAAAAAAUAUCCAGUUCAUCACCGUAUGCCCUUUGGGUUUCAUACUACUGAAUCUUUAUUGCUCAAGCAAAGAUUCUUUGCCCAGAGAACCUAAGAGGACACUUAAAAAACUACAUGCUCCAUGAAGACAUUGGUUCAUGGAGUUUCAAGUGGAAGUUCACAUGUUCCAGUGGUCAAUGUAUCCAGACUGAUUUUAAAUUCCCAAAGAAAAGAAAUAUUUUCUAUCCAUAAAUCCAGCCCUGAAAACAUGAAGAACAUCUUGAAGAGCAGUGGGCACCCUUGCCUUGUUCCUGACCUGUGGUGGAAAAAUUUCUUUCACAAGUAAGUGUGAUUAUUUGU